UAAUACGUAGGUGGCAAGCGUUGUCCGGAAUUAUUGGGCGUAAAGCGCGCGCAGGCGGUCUUUUAAGUCUGAUGUGAAAGCCCACGGCUCAACCGUGGAGGGUCAUUGGAAACUGGAAGACUUGAGUGCAGAAGAGGAGAGUGGAAUUCCACGUGUAGCGGUGAAAUGCGUAGAGAUGUGGAGGAACACCAGUGGCGAAGGCGACUCUCUGGUCUGUAACUGACGCUGAGGCGCGAAAGCGUGGGGAGCAAACAGGAUUAGAUACCCUGGUAGUCCACACCGUAAACGAUGAGUGCUAAGUGUUAGAGGGUUUCCGCCCUUUAGUGCUGCAGCUAACGCAUUAAGCACUCCGCCUGGGGAGUACGACCGCAAGGUUGAA
rnacentral:rRNA from 1 species